UGAGGUCAGGAGUUCAAGACCAGCCUGGCCAACAUGGUGAAACCCCGUCUCUACUGAAAAUACAAAAAAAAAAAAUUAGCUGGGCAUGGUGGCACGCGCCUGUAAUCCCAGCUACUUGGGAGGCUGAGGCAGGAGAAUUGCUUGAACCUGGGAGGCGGAGGUUGCAGUGAGCUGAGAUCAUGCCAUUGCACUCUAGCCUGGGCGAGGAGUGAAACUCCGUCUCAAAAAAAAAGAAAGAAAUGGAAAGCCAAGGAUGCUGCAGCUGUGCUUUGGGGUUCAAGGUAAUAGCUUACCUUGUUCCACACUUUGUCAAAGCACUCACCCUCCUAAGCUAGGACCAGUCCAUUCAUUUGAAACUGUGCAAUGUGAUGUAAAUGGCUCUGGUUCUUAGACUGUGGCUGUCACAGGGAUGGGGCUCCAAGGCCAUCAUUUUCAUUGCAUGGCUCCAAGAGCAGGGAGUUCCUCAAUGAAACCAGCUGCCUUUUUUGGUGGGGCCAUUUUUUUGGCUUUGGAACCCAAAGCAGCCACUCAUUUGGUGCUUCCUCUUGUUCUGCCCUCCAUCCCUCAACUCUUAAUGGCAUCUGUCUCCUAGAACCCACGCUCUUCAGCUUUUUGGCUGAUUUGGAGAACAGUGACAGGUGCCUGCCUGCCUUCGUCCCCUUUUAGAUUCAUUUAUACCACAGAUGUUUCUGUGAGAUACUGAGAUCAUAAAAAGCUUUAGGCUUGGCAGAGAGGACUCAACACCCCCAGGCUUUCCUGAGGCACCAACUAGAUGUCUCUUGAGUGAGCUGGACUCCCUGGGAAAGAAGCAUUGUCUGCAACAUUAUAUUAUAGGAAAUGUACCAGGAAUGUCAAUAAUAAUGCUUUGGGGGGGGGGGUUAUUUUGUUUUGUUUUGUUUUUAAUGUUGUUUGUAUAUUUAGAGCUGGGCCAUUUUCCGUGCUGCGAUUUCUUCUCUUUGACCCUCUUCAGUGUUUGGGGCAAGAGUGGACCCUGGUUUUUAUUUCUUUGAUUGCAUUGUUUACUGCACUAGGAAAAAUAUAGAGAUACAGGGAAACUACAGACAAAUUUAAGGAAAAAUAGGUCAAAAAAGAAAGCACACACCUUAAGAGUGGGAGGAAUAUUUUUAUUAAAAACAAAACUUGGACCUGUAGUUUUUUUUUUUCUUUUUUAUUUUUAAGAAGGCACCUUUCAGAAGCCAUGUUUCUUCCAACAGAUGUUGGAAACCCCAUCGAGCAAGUAAAAGUUGCAUUCUCCAUCCCUCAGAUGGCUGUAUGUAGUCAAAGAAACCCUGUAACAUGGUAAGGUUGCUGUUUUUUUUUUUUUUUUCUUUUUGAGAUGGAGUCUUGCUCUGUAGCCCAGGCUGGAGUGCAAUGGUGUGAUCUCAGCUCACUGCAACCUCCGCCUCCUUGGUUCAAGUGAUUCUCCUGCCUCAGCCUCCUGAGUAGCUGGGAUUACAGGCUCCCACCACCACGCCCGGGUAAUUUUUGUAUUUUUAGUAGAGACGGGGUUUUGCCAUGUUGGCCAGGCUGGUCUUGAACUCCUGACCUCAAGCGAUCCGCCCGCCUUGGCCUCCCAAAGUGUUGGGAUUACAGGCAUGAGCCACCGCACCCAGCCUGAAGGUGACUCUUAAGAAUGAGAUUUAUGAACUCCAUACAGUUGUAGAUUUCAGUUUUUAAAUAGUCUGGGGUUUUAUUUUUCUUUUCAAAAUAUCUAAUAGACUUAGCAAUCAAUUUAGAACAAAUAUUUGGCCCUUAAUAUAUCUUUAGUGAGGGAAGUAGCUUUUAUUUCCUGCUUGUUUAGGUUUUCUGUUGGUACAUAAAAACAAAAUUGCUGUCUCAGACUGAAUCUACUUGAAUCUAGGAAGGCACAUCUCAUCCCUAUUGUGGUUUUUAGGGACACUUUUCUCUUUCCCAGAGAUGAGAGGACCAAUUCAGGACAGAAGAGCCCUCGUGAAUACCAACGUGCUAGCUCAGGUUCCCUUCUUUCCUCCAUCAGAGCUAUUGGUAGGGUUUUAAGGUCGUGUGUGCAUCAUGCUUCCAAUGUCAAGAGAUUUCCUCAAACAGCCUGUUUACUAGAUGAAUUUUCCAGCUGGUGAAAUACAUGAGCUUUGUUGUUUUCCUGGUCUUCCAAUAGCCUGUCAUUAUUGUUAGAUAUUAUGGCACCUGUUGUUGAAUGUAGGUUCCCUUACAGCCCUGGUCUAGAUGAUCCUAGAUGGGGUGAGACAUAUGCAAGCCAUUGGUAUGUGCAUAAGCAGUUGCAAUGAACCUUAGGCUGACUUGGUAGUAGGCAUUUGUCUUUCUGUUCAUGCAUUGAAUAAACAUUUUUAAGAACCAUCUAUGUGCCAGGCUUUGUGCUAGGCACUGACAGUAGAGAGAUGAAGACAUAGUCCUUGCACUUAAGGAAUUCAUACUCCAGAUGUCUGGAGUUAAGAAAUACAUAUUUCAGCCAGGCAUGGUGGCUCACACCUAGAAUCCCAGCACUUUCAGAAGCUGAGGCAGAAUUGCUUGAGGCCAAGAGUUUAAGACUAGCCUGGUCAACAUAGCCAGACCCCAUCUCUAUAAAAAAAUGUAAAAAUUAGUCAAGUCUUGUGGCUCGCACUUGUAGACACAAUUACUCAGGAUGCUGAGGCAAGAGGAUUUUGCUUGGGCCUAGGAGUUCAAGGCUGUAGUGAGCUAUGACUUUGCCACUGUACUCUAGCCCAGGUAACAGGGCAACAUCCCCAGCUCAGAAAACCAAAACUACACAUUUCAUUAUAAUUGUUUUUUUUUGUAAUUUUAUGUAUUUUAUGCAUUGAAAAACAUUAUUUAAGAAUUGGUUCAUAGGUUUCAGCAGACUGCCAAAGGCACAAACAAGCAGCUCUCCUUUACUGAGGUACUGAAACAGAUCCUACUGCGUAAGUGCUGUGUGUGAUAGGGCUAUUGGCUAGGAGCUGAGAGAACAAAGCAUGAAGUGCCUAACCCAGCUUAGCGGUGUAGAGGUGGGGUCAGCAAAUAAGGGAGAUCUUCCUGGAGAAGGCAUAUACCUAAGCUGAUUUAGGAGAGACCACUUUUGGCUAGGUUUAUUGUACUACUUGAUUUUCAAGUAAUUGGGCUUAUUUAUUCUAGAGAAAAAGUCUUCAGUCUCUUGCUUCUGCCUGCAAAGCAAGGCAGAGUCAGCAACAUGGGCAGUCUCCCCACUGGAGAACGCUGAGUCAUGCAUGGGCUUCUCCAAGUUUCCAUCAGAUGGGAUCCAGUGUUGAAUCCAGUGCAGGACUGGAGUCUAGCUGGCAAAGGGUAAAUGCCCCCAAAGCCUUCCUGCCAUAUGGUUUCCACGAAGGCCUGAGAGUCAGCUGUAC
rnacentral:lncRNA from 10 species